CCUCCAGAUUACGGUAUGAAAUCAAGUUCUGCCGCCCUUUAUGUGAUGAUUCGCUCCCUGUCUCCCCUGUCUCCGCCUAGGGUUUUGAUCGUGGGUGAUCGAGCUUGAAAUCAAGAUGAGAUGUGUUUCUUUUGGGGGCAUAUGAUUCAGAAUUGGGUAUUGAUCUUUGUGAUGUGUUGAUAUGUACAAUGACGUUCAGUUUUGCUAUGACUAAUCUCGCAAAGUAUCAAGCAUCAAGAGAGGUUAAAUCAAAUAGUGUAAUGCCUUAACCAGUGGGCUAAUGCGAACAUAAAAGCUUGGCGGGUAUGUAGAAACAUCAAAGGCGCUAUCACGAUUCUUCUUGCCUAUGUUCAGAGGUUGUGCUUGACGAUUCUCUUUUAUUUUAUUUUAUUUUCGUAGGUAUGCUUGCAGUUUACUUCAACACAUACAAAUUGUUGGCCCUAUAUUCUGAAAUCUUAUUCCUUGGUGUUCAGCUGCAGACUGGGUUCAGAUCGUCUUCGUGCCAGAAACGAAACAGAUCCACCCCAGAUGGUGCCGAGGGUGCAAUGCAGUCUGUGCAUUAGAGGUUUGGUAUGGGAUUCUGAAGAAAACAGUAGCCUCGUGAUGCCCUGACUUUGAUGCCA